rnacentral:rRNA from 1 species
GAUGAACGCUGGCGGCGUGCAUAACACAUUCAAGUCGAACGAGGUAGCAAUACCUAGUGGCGGACGGGUGAGUUAACGCGUGAGCAACCUGCCCUUGUGUGGGGGAUACCGUCUGGAAACGGACGUUAAUACCGCAUAACAUAGCGGAAUCGCAUGGUUCUGCUAUCAAAGAUUUAUUGCGCAAGGAUGGGCUCGCGUUGGAUUAGAUAGUUGGUGAGGUAACGGCCCACCAAGUCUGCGAUCCAUAGCCGGACUGAGAGGUUGAACGGCCACAUUGGAACUGAGAUACGGUCCAGACUCCUACGGGAGGCAGCAGUGGGGAAUAUUGGGCAAUGGGCGAAAGCCUGACCCAGCGACGCCGCGUGAAGGAAGAAGGUCUUCGGAUUGUAAACUUCUUUUAUCAGGGACGAAUACUGACGGUACCUGAUGAAUAAGCCACGGCUAACUACGUG